rnacentral:rRNA from 1 species
UACGUAGGGGGCAAGCGUUGUCCGGAAUCAUUGGGCGGAAAGAGCGUGUAGGCGGCCCGAUAAGUCCGCUGUGAAAGUCCAGGGCUCAACCCUGGAAUGCCAGUGGAAACUGUCGGGCUGGAGUCCGGAAGAGGCGAGUGGAAUUCCUGGUGUAGCGGUGAAAUGCGCAGAUAUCAGGAGGAACACCAAUGGCGAAGGCAGCUCGCUGGGACGGUACUGACGCUGAGACGCGAAAGCGUGGGGAGCAAACAGG